UUAAUUAAGGAAUUAAUGGUAUGUUGGCUUAAGAAGUCUAUUCGUAUGAGCCCAUAUAUAUGGAUAAUAGAGAGAAUUAUGCUGAAGAAGAUAAAGGGAAAUGAAUGACUCCGUACCCAUUGUAUUGGACAGUAGCUAGACGACAAUAUAUUAAAUUACAUUCAGGAUACAGACAAUGGAUAAUUUAUACUCUAUGUUAUUUUACUAGUAGGAGCUUUCAUUGGGAUUUUGAUUUUGUGAGAACUAAAGGGCCUUGGAGGACUGAUAAGAAGUUUAUUAAAAAUCUGUUAUUCUACAGUCGAUAAUAUUAUCAUGCAGGUGGUUGGGCAUUAGUAGGAGUAGAGAAGAAGAGGACAAACAAGUGCUCAUUGAAAGAGGGAUUCAUCGAAAGACCUUGACCGGACGUAGCACUCCUCUGGUGCAUAAGGUCUGAGACUUUACUUCUGAAAUAUAUGGCAUUUCAACAGAGUGCCACGAAGGGUGAACAGUUGAGUGAUAUACCAUGGAUAACUUUAAGAAUGAUUCUACCUGCAUUGCUGUUUUGUUAGGAAACGGUGACAACCUUUUGGAAACUCUGGCAGAGAAAUUUAUGGAAUUCCUGGAGAAGGAGGAUUUAACUCUGACUCAGCCCGCCUUCACGCCCCAAGGUGCUAAGAAUCAAACAAGCGGCUCGCACACCAGAAGGUAUGCCUGGAAUGCCAGAUCCCCUCUCUUGGCUUCUGAAGAGGAUUUCAGAGAGAGGGGAAGAGCUGUGCGUUUCUGAGUGAGGACCCCUGGGGGCGUCAGAUUGAGGCUUGUGUACAUGAAAUUACGAACGGACGAUUGUUGAGAGCAAGAUUUGGACACUAUCUUAGCACUGUCAAGCAGAGCACAAAGAUUUGGUCACCUGAUACUACUGUAUCUGGAAAUUAGAAAAAAAAGAGUGCAAGGGGAAAGAAAGAAUGCUCGAGUUUGGGUUGAAAACUAUAUGGAUGUGUUUCAUACCAGCUUACUGUUGCAUGAUAGCACUGUGUAUAUGAUUCUUUCAAAAUAUAACAAGUUUAAAAAACAUGAUGAACAGUACUUUAGCUUGAAGAUGUUAGGAUGAAAUCAGCCAGCAAAAUUGCAAAGCAGUGGGUGUUAAUGGAGAUGAUGAUUUUGCAAUUGUACUGUCUUGAUUAAUGCUUAAUUUGCUAUAAAGUUAUAUUGUGCUAUACAGAUGUACUGUAACCUAAGUAGUAAUAAUGCUUUUGCUUAAGUACAAAGAUGUAACCCUGUGAUUAAAGCUAUAUGGAAAAUGUAUUGUGUAACUUCACUAACAUUAAGAAAACUGCUUACUUGCAUGAAAUGUAUGUAGUGACCAGUGGUGUCAAAAGUACUGGCAUUCAUUACUCAAGUAGAAGUAUAGAUACUAGGGUUUAAAAAUACUUUUGUAGAAGUUGAAGUAUCAAGUCAAGCUUUUUACUCAAGUAAAAGUGCAAAAGUACUGGUUUAAAAAACUACUUAAAGUAUAAAAGUAAAAGUAAUGUAAGGGGAAAAAAAUGCCAUUAAGAACAAAAGCUUAGGCCUCACCACAGGGGCCUAUUGUGUACUACCCCAUCUCCUCAAAAAACAUUUUUCUAAAGGCCAUAGGCCAUAAUGACUAUAAUGUUCAUGUUGAAAAAUUUGGGAUGCACUAGGCUUCCUGUUUCAGCCGCAUAUAUAAAAAUACAAAAAUGGUGUGCACAUCCCAAACAUCCAAUUAGGACACAGGUGCAAGAAAACUAAAUGAUAUAGACAAAUAAAGAAGUGAAGUCUGAACACUGAAAACUACUGCUCCAGAGGAAUUUAAUCAAGCAACGUUUCGACCUUCAGGUCUUCAUCAGCCGCAUAUAUGCCCAUUUAAAAUGAACGCACUUUAGUACAAUGCAAAUACAUUAAAGGACUAGAGAUAUGAUGACUAGUUGCCAAUAAGUAUUGUUAUAGUGCAAAAAGUCAAACUUCAGAGGCUUGUCAUCAAUAACCUUUAAUGGAAUGUUAAAUGUACAUCCAUGAUUAGCUGCAGGAAUCUGCGAGGGCAAUGGACAAGAACAUUGGUGCAGGCUUAGUAACAAUUACCCUUGUAUGGUAAUCUAUUUACAGUAAACAUUAUAGUGCUGUCAAAAUGAAUGAUUAAUCCAAGUGAUUGAUCAAAAACUAAAACUGAAAAAGAAAUCAUAAUCCUGAUACUUUCUUGAUUGAUAGCUUCUUGUAUUUGGUACAUACGUCUGCUAUGUCCAGUGUUCGGGGGGGAACGAGUUACAAAGUUGGUAUAGCCUAGUUAUCACAACAUUGUCAAUCGCAUCGUCAAUCGAAAACGCUAAUUUAUUAAAACAUCUCGCUACCGAACUACCUACAGUAGCUUAAUUUGUGGAGGACGAAGAAAAAGCACUCAUUUGGUAAAUGAGCCAGUGAGAAAUAAUAACUUUUAAAUAGGGUCCAGUGCCUUUUCAAUACUUUUAAAAUGGUACCGGCUCCUAAACGGUGCCUGAACCGAUACUUUAAAAAAAAGAAACACAAAAAAACUAUUGAUAACUUUAAAGAACAUUACAAAUAUUUUAAAUAAAUCCAUAGCUUGUUGUGCAAGUUGUGCUUCCCUUAAUCUAAGGCUAAUAAAUGUAUUUCACAAUCUGGGUCAUUAUUAUCCAGCUCAAAGACGGGAGGAGACCGGUCUGACGCUGGUUUCAUGUGAAAUUUAAGCGGACUGACUCUGAGGCGAUCGGAUACCGGUUCCAUACCCAACCCUACUUUUAAGAAAUAUAUCUUUUGAUAAACGAACCCAAAACUGUCUAUGUCCUGGCUGGACUGUGAUGUGAUUUGUGUCAUGUGCAGGUGCGAUGGAUCGCGUAAAGACCAAUAGGGUGUCGGAAUGGUAUAUGUUUAUACUUCUCAUCCAACCACAUUCAAAUUCACUCCAUCCGGAUGGCGCGAUUUAUCUGGAUAGGUUUUUUUUUUUUUUUUUGAAUGAUGACAAGCCGGAAUGAAAACAAGCCGAAAUGAAAUAGCAGUAACGAAGCUAUUUUUAAAAUGUAAGGAGUAGAAAGUACAGAUACUUGCCUGAAAAUGUAAGGAGUAGAAGUAAAAAGUCGGCUGAAAAAUAAUCACUCAAGUAAAGUAUAGAUACCCCAAAUUUCUACUUAAGUACAGUAACGAAGUAUUUGUACUUCGUUACUUGACACCUCUGGUAGUGACUGAUUUAGAGUAGAAACACUUAUGUAUUAGAAAUAGUUUUUAUGAUAAAUGGACAAUAUAGUAUUUAAGGUGUAUUUCACCGACUGUUAAGAGGAAAAAGAAGAGGAAAAGGGCUAAAGCAAUGUGAAGUAAACAACUGAAAGCCUCGGCAGAGGAGUUGGCAGCACUCCAGGUGAUGAUAUCAGAAGAACCAGCGUUCGACGUCUGGGUAUAAAAGACAGAGAGAGAGACUCGACGGACGGAUACUGAACAAGCACAGUAUCCCUCGACGCCUGAUACCAGCUGAUUAUACCUUGAUUUUGUAACUUUACUAUUGUACUUUGAUAUAACUUUUGUUAAUUUUAAUAAAACUUGUAUUUUAUUAUUGACAAGUUAUGGUCUGCAAGAGUAGUAAUUUAAGAGCCGUAAGCAAGAACUGACCACAGGGAAGUCUACUGAGCAAGAUGUAAGUAUUUUUGAGAUGCUUAUAGUUUUGUCCAGGGUCGACUUUCCUUACCUACCUGAGAAUAAUAAAGAAAUAGGUAAAAGGUGUAUAGAUAAAGGAGACACCAAAAAACAGUAUAUAGUAAUAAAGCAUACAGCACUAAAAUAAUUUGCUAAUUGGCAAUUCACAAUUUAGCAACUGU
ensembl:lncRNA